AUUUACAUAUGCUUUGCGGCUUGCGGUGCGUAUUUACCAAGUCGGUAUGAUAGAUAUUCAAAAGAGACUGUUCCAUGAAGAAUAGAACAAAAGAAGAAAAAAACAUGAUCUUUAAUUAUUAAUACAGACGAAAACGCUCUUCAAAAGAACUUUCAAUUUUCAGAUGUGCCUGUGGUACAUUUAUAUUUUAAUCGUCUUGAAAGACUGAGGUGCAAAGCAAGAGGCAGAAUGAGCGCCGUAUAACUGACUGCCUUGUAGUCAACCCACAUCUUUGUUGUUAAUACUGUGGAAUUGUUAUUCUUUCAAUGAAAUUGAUGGUUUCAAACUUUGGUCAGCACGUUUCGGAAAGGGAUCUCGUCGAUUACAUCAUCCAAUGUACAAAACUUGCAGUUUAUUUUAGCAACCACAAAAGAAUGAAAAGUGAAGUCAACUUCAAUACAAGAAUGGAAGAAUUUCAUAAAAGAAUGUCGUGAAGUCGGAAGAAAUGCUACGAAGUAUUUUGUCCGACAUGUUAAGAAAUCUACCAGCUCACCGCAUGCUUUCAACAAAAAGAUAUCUUGUUAAAGAAUCCAAUGAAGAGAUAAUUUGCUCCAGCAAAUAUUAAUCACAUUCCGCCAAACUCAACUCGCGAAGCAGCUCGUGUAUAUUGACUAAGAAGACACAGAAUACGUACGGUGUUGCAUAAAGAAUUAAACUUUCGUCCGUGGAAACCUCAUUAUGUGCAGGCGCUUAAACCUGAGGACUAUGACCGCAAAAGUGCAAAAAUCCAGAUCUCUCUACAUGUUAUUUUUACCUGUUGGGUUGCACAAAAAGAAGAGGUGUGCAAAACAAAACCUCGCACACUGGAGGACUUGGAGACACAGAUUCAGCAGAUUCUCAAGGAUAUCCCUGAUGACGUCCUUCAGAAGGUUGCUCAUCCUUGGCCAUUCGAGGAAGCUGGUUGACGCCACCGGUGCUUAUGUUGAAAUAUGAAGACUUACUUUCAUUUUCCUAUGUAGUAAAGAACAUGUAUAAUUUGUUUCAAUAAAUUUGUAAAAGAAAAAUGGAUUUUAUUAACAAUUUUUAACGCCUGCUUACUUUUU
rnacentral:lncRNA from 1 species